UUGACGGAUAUGCGGUCUUCAUCAUUAAAUGCAGUUGAAAUGCGGGUUGAAACUUUCUGCCACCUGGUGGUUGUUUGGGUACAUUGCCUUAGCCUCGAAAAAAAAUCGGCUUGACAGCCUGCGGGAUCUCUUCGGGAGUCCCGCGGGAAAAGGUGCAUUCUCAACCCGUACCCACUGUAUGUCCAAAAUUUCGAACUAUUCCUUUAAAACCAAGCAAGUUUGUGGGCUCACUUGAAACCAAGGGGAACCCACAACUCAUGGCGAAACCGGCAACAAUGGCGGCCAAAGCACCGAGGGAGUCCCACAAAUGGACGCCUGAGGAAACCCGGAGGCUAAUACACUUUCGGGCGGAACAUACCACAAGUUUUUGAGGUCAAAAUAUGCCGCAAAGCAACAAUGGGAGACACUGGUGAAAGAAAUGAGGUUGGAUGGGAGAGCUACAGGGCAACAAGCUGCUAAGAAAUGGGAAAACUUAAAGCAAAAAUAUAAGGAACUGCGAACACCCAAAACUGGGUCAGGUACAGAUAGGGGGGAAGUGACCGCUGCAACUUGGCAGUUCUUCGAGGACAUGCAUGAGGUGUUGGGUGCCAGGCCCUCACUCUUGAAUUUCCCCUUGGGGAUCAAUAAAGUAUCUAUCUAUCUAUCUAUCUAUCUAUCUCCACUCGACCCUCCUGUAGUGGUGGCAUCCUUUUCGGCAGAUCCCACAUCAAUCCUCAUGGAAAUUGUUGGGCCCUCAUCCCCACCCAGCACCUCUGCAGCCAUCUCCAACACCAUGACAAGCACCACAACUCCCUCACCUAAAAAAAAAAGAGAAAAACUACUGUAAACACCAUCCUGGAUUUCCUUGCAGAGGAAGCGCAUGAGGAGAGCGAGGCCAAGACCGAGAGGUUCUUGGCCCUCUUUGAAAAAAAUGGUGGAAAAGCUGUAGUUUUUUUUUUUUUCCUAUUUGCACAAUUAUUUUGAGUUUUGUACAUUAAAAUUCCUUUUGUACAGUUAAGUGCCUUUUAUUUAUUUAUAU